GGACUACCGGGGUAUCUAAUCCUGUUUGAUCCCCACGCUGUCGCGCCUGAGCGUCAGAAAUGAGCCAGUGAGCCGCCUUCGCCACCGGUGUUCUUCCCAAUAUCUACGAAUUUCACCUCUACACUGGGAAUUCCACUCACCUCUCUCAUCCUCAAGUCUUACAGUUUCAAUGGCAAUUCCGGAGUUGAGCUCCGGGCUUUCACCACUGACUUGAAAGACCGCCUGCGCGCGCUUUACGCCCAGUAAUUCCGAACAACGCUAGCCCCCUUCGUAUUACCGCGGCUGCUGGCAC
rnacentral:rRNA from 1 species